UCCAGACUCCUACGGGAGGCAGCAGUGGGGAAUAUUGCACAAUGGGGGAAACCCUGAUGCAGCAACGCCGCGUGAGUGAAGAAGUAUUUCGGUAUGUAAAGCUCUAUCAGCAGGGAAGAAGAUGACGGUACCUGAGUAAGAAGCCCCGGCUAACUACGUGCCAGCAGCCGCGGUAAUACGUAGGGGGCAAGCGUUAUCCGGAUUUACUGGGUGUAAAGGGAGCGUAGACGGUGAGACAAGUCUGAAGUGAAAGCCCGGGGCUCAACCCCGGGACUGCUUUGGAAACUGCCUGACUGGAGUGCUGGAGAGGCAAGCGGAAUUCCUAGUGUAGCGGUGAAAUGCGUAGAUAUUAGGAAGAACACCAGUGGCGAAGGCGGCUUGCUGGACAGUAACUGACGUUGAGGCUCGAAAGCGUGGGGAGCAAACAGGAUUAGAUACCCGGGUAAUG
rnacentral:rRNA from 1 species